rnacentral:rRNA from 1 species
UACGGAGGGAGCUAGCGUUGUUCGGAAUUACUGGGCGUAAAGCGCGCGUAGGCGGUUACUCAAGUCAGAGGUGAAAGCCCGGAGCUCAACUCCGGAACUGCCUUUGAAACUAGGUGACUAGAAUCUUGGAGAGGCGAGUGGAAUUCCGAGUGUAGAGGUGAAAUUCGUAGAUAUUCGGAAGAACACCAGUGGCGAAGGCGGCCUCCUGGACUGACACUGACGCUGAGGUGCGAAAGCGUGGGGAGCAAACAGG